CGUAUAGGAUGUUCGGCUAAUAGUGCAACGUCCUGUUGCAACACCGAACUGAAUUACAUCCUGUAAU
rnacentral:sRNA from 1 species